GGAACGGUAGCUCAGCAGGUAGAGCAUUAGGUUGAAGCCCUAAGCUGCAUUGGUUCAAUUCCAAUCCGUUCCACCA
rnacentral:tRNA from 1 species